CCUACGGGUGGCAGCAGUGGGGAAUAUUGCACAAUGGGGGAAACCCUGAUGCAGCAACGCCGCGUGAGUGAAGAAGUAUCUCGGUACGUAAACCUCUAUCCGCAGGGACGAAAAUGGCGGUACCUGCCUAAGAAGCCCCGACUAACUACGUGCCAGCAGCCGCGGUAAUACGUCGGGGGCAAGCGUUAUCCGGAUUUACUGGGUGUAAAGGGAGCGUAGACGGCAGCACAAGUCUGAAGUGAAAUGCCGGGGCUUAACCCCCGAACUGCUUUGGAAACUGUGUGGCUGGAGUGCAGGAGGGGUAAGCGGAAUUCCUAGUGUAGCGGUGAAAUGCGUAGAUAUUAGGAGGAACACCGGUGGCGAAGGCGGCUUACUGGACUGUAACUGACGUUGAGGCUCGAAAGCGUGGGGAGCAAACAGGAUUAGAUACCCCUGUAGUC
rnacentral:rRNA from 1 species